GAGGGUGUAGCUCAAUGGUAGAGUACUCUGUCUUUUUGAAGAGAUGUAUAGGUUCGAUUCCUGUCAUCCUCG
rnacentral:tRNA from 1 species